AGUGAACGCUGGCGGUAGGCCUAACACAUGCAAGUCGAACGGCAGCACAGUAAGAGCUUGCUCUUACGGGUGGCGAGUGGCGGACGGGUGAGGCAUACAUCGGAAUCUACUUUUUCGUGGGGGAUAACGUAGGGAAACUUACGCUAAUACCGCAUACGAUCUACGGGUGAAAGCAGGGGAUCUUCGGACCUUGCGCGUUUGAAUGAGCCGAUGUCGGAUUAGCUAGUUGGCGGGGUAAAGGCCCACCAAGGCGACGAUCCGUAGCUGGUCUGAGAGGAUGAUCAGCCACACUGGAACUGAGACACGGUCCAGACUCCUACGGGAGGCAGCAGUGGGGAAUAUUGGACAAUGGGCGCAAGCCUGAUCCAGCCAUGCCGCGUGAGUGAAGAAGGCCUUCGGAUUGUAAAGCCCUUUUGUUGGGAAAGAAAAGCAGCGGGAUAAUACCCCGCUGUUCUGACGGUACCCAAAGAAUAAGCACCGGCUAACUACGUG
rnacentral:rRNA from 1 species